UACGUAGGGUGCAAGCGUUGUCCGGAAUUAUUGGGCGUAAAGAGCUCGUAGGCGGUUUGUCGCGUCUGCUGUGAAAACUCGGGGCUUAACCCCGGGCCUGCAGUGGGUACGGGCAGACUAGAGUGCGGUAGGGGAGACUGGAAUUCCUGGUGUAGCGGUGAAAUGCGCAGAUAUCGGAAGGAACAUCAGUGGCGAAGGCGACUACCUGGCCUGUUCUUGACGCUGAGGCGCGAAAGCUAGGGGAGCAAACGGG
rnacentral:rRNA from 1 species